UUCACCAUCUUUUCUCUUACCGGGGAGCCGCUGCCAUGAAGUUCGAGCUGUGCAGUUUCAGCGGGUGCAAGAUCUACCCCGGACACGCCAGGACCGACGGGAAAGUUUUCCAGUUUCUUAAUGCAAAAUGCGAGUCGGCUUUCUUUUCCAAGAGGAAUCCUCAGCAGAUAAACUGGACUGUCCUCGACAGAAGAAAGCACAAAAAGGGACAGUAGGAAGAAAUUCAAAAGAAAAGAACGCACCGAGCAGUCAAAUUCCAGAGGGCCAUUACUGGUGCAUCUCUUGCUGAUGUCAUGGCCAAGAGGAAUCAGAAACCUGAAGUUAGAAAGGCUCAGUGAGAACAAGCUAUCAGGGCUGCCAAGGAAGCAAAAAAGGCUAAGCAAGCAUCUAAAGAGACUGCAAUGGCUGCUGCUAAGGCACCUACAAAGGCAGCACCUAAGCAAAAGAUUGUGAAGCCUGUGAAAGUUUCAGCUCCCCGAGUUGGUAGAAAAAGCUAAGCUGGCAGAUUAGAUUUUUAAAUAAAGAUUGGAUUAUAACUCUAAAAAGAAAAAAGAAAAGAAAGAAA